UCUACCCUGCGGUGUUCGAGAUUUGCCAUAUAUUCCUUGAACCAUUCUUUCGCAUAGGUUGUGGAACAUGUUUGGUGGGCGCGAUCGUCGCUAGUUCGACGAACCCGAAAUUGAACUGACUACGACCACCUUGAGCCAUCAGGUUCGGGAUGCCGGCAAAAACGGCACAGGCGGGGAUAUA
rfam:Massilia sp. JS1662 GAT8, whole genome shotgun sequence.